rnacentral:misc_RNA from 1 species
UCUCCUUAGGUGAACCUGCGGAGGGAUCAUUACUGAGUGAGGGUCUCCGGGCCCGACCUCCAACCCUUUUUGAACACAACUUGUUGCUUCGGGGGCGACCCUGCCGUUUCGACGGCGAGCGCCCCCGGAGGACUUCAAACACUGCAUCUUUGCGUCGGAGUUUAAGUAAAUUAAACAAAACUUUCAACAACGGAUCUCUUGGUUCUGGCUUCGAUGAAAACGCAGC